CUCAGUUGCGAAAAAAAUAUCACGUCUCCAACUCCAACCAUAGCUCUCCCCUCUCCCCCAGCCGCCACAGAACUCCUCCCUGUUCCCAUCGCCGCCGCCCGCCGCUUCUCCUCUCCUCUGCUACCCCAGGCGCGAGGAACCAACCUCCCGAAGCAACCGGAGCGGCAAAGCGGCGGAGGAAUGGAGAGAUGGCGUCUGCGAUGGCGGGGAAAAGGAUGGGGCGGGCGUCCUACAUCCGGAUCAAGCACGAGGAGGAGCGGCACGAGGCGUCCUGGAAGGAGCCCGAGGGCUGGGUCUUCUCCGCCACCACGCGCACCGAUGUCGCCGCGCGCCUUGGCGAGCUCCGCGACCAGAUCCUCGCCGGUUGCGCCUCCUUCCCGACCUCGCCGCACAGCACUCCGGCUGCUCCUCCGCCCGCCGCGGCGGCGACCUAGUGUGUAUGGUAGAACCAAUCGAUUUUCAGAAGAUAGCAUGAACCGGAAGGGUAAUCGGUGCCGCCACCGGAAGGCUCGGCAAUGCUAAUCGCCGGAACUACACUACCGGCAGUGCCAUCCAAAUCCUCGGAGACGCUCAAGCUACAGGAAUUUGGACCGUCCUGCAAGAAGAAUCAGUUGAGAAGAUUGGACUAUGCUACUUCUCUAAGGCUGAGUAUACACUCUUUGUUGUUAAUUGUAGUGAUAGUUACUAUUAUUGAAUUGCUAAGGUGACAAACUGACAGUUAUUGCUUGAUGAGCUUACUCUUGUUCAUCACAUUGCAUCCCUCUUACACGGGAAUCAUCAAAUGUUCACACAUAUGUAUGUCCUUUAGUUGUCAUUUGCUCUUUUUUAUUUUUUCUUCCCUUUUUUGUGUGGAUAAUCCAAUUUCGUAUGUUGUCAAUGGAUCUUAAACAUCUUCACUUCUGAUUUCUAUUUCAAACAGACAGUGCAGCUUUGACGGCCUCUUAUUUCAUGCCGACAAGUGUAUUUUGUUCCAUUAGAAAUAUAUAACUAUAUUUUAUUCCUGAGAGAGCAAUCUUAUACGGGAAUAUAGUGUUGUAUUUUGUGCACCCUCAUUUGGCAAGAGUUCAGGUUACUAUUUGUCUCUGUGUGAAAGUUCUCACAUUAGUUCAUGCAGAAUAUGUCUAUAUUUUUACCAAGGGGUUCCAAUGAUUCGAGGACUGCAUAUGUGCAGAUCUAGAAACUCUUUCUUCCCAAGAUGGGCAAUGUGCAGAUCUAGAAAUGGUAUGUCCCCUAUGCGUGUAUGACUGUUGGUGGAGAUGUUCAUACUUUAGGAUCUUUGGUUCCUGAGUUAGUGAGGUGCAUGCUCUCGACCAUGACAUCUACUUACUCUAUUGUCAUCUAUAGUCUGUAUUGUGCUCUGCGCUUAAUGUGCAUUGGGUGCAUAGCAGAACAUGAAUUUCAGAUGCCCUUAUUUGUUUGAUGAAAUGCCUCCUUGAUCUGCAUGCCAGGUAUUAUAGCAUACUGUAUAUGGCUUCUAAGCUCUUUGAAAGUUUAGGACACAAUAGGAAGUCAUAUUACAGCGGUUUCCGAUUAAUAACAAAGCUGAAAGCACAAUCUCUAUUUUUCGAGGACAGCAAAUUUGUUUUCUAGAACUGAUAGUUUCUUCGGUAUUUUUUUGUUUGCUUUCUGUUACUUUAUAACUGAAUAUGAAUAUGCAGUUAGCUUAUUUUUCUUUUAUGUGAUAUGUGAGUAAAUAGCAGUUAGCUGCAUGGGUUACUGUGGUUUCAAGCUCAACUUUUGUGUUAUCUAGCUGCAGUGCUAGGACUGGUUGUUUCCCAAAGAGAUGAUAUGACCAUGAGUUUAUGGCCUUUUUGAGCUUGAUGUCUUCUGUCUAAGAGAAAUGAAGUCUUCGGCAUGUACACUGUGUAAACAAUCAUUGGAAAGGCGAGAGGAAGAUAAGAGGAGCAUAUAGAAGUUUGUGAUUUGUAUAGGAGGCCUUGUUGGUAUGAUUUAUUUUCCUGAUGGUAUAUUCAUCUCAUUAGGAAGGCCUUGUUGUGUGGCUUUGGUCUUCCUAAAUUUUUCUGUGAUUUUUUCUUUUCUUUUUAGGUUUGUGAAACAAUGACUAUCCUAGCACAAGAUCUAAUCAUGGAAAUUUCCUUAUUGUACAGUUUUCCAUUUUGAAAUAGUAGACCUUUCUCCACUGUUGAGAUGUUGAUAGGACAAGUUUUCAUUGCUUAUCUUACCAGGACUAAGAUUAGCCUGGAGAAAGUGUGGCUUGCAUGCCAUGUCAUACACAAAUUAUUAAAUUUUCGUUCUUCAUUUUUUGUUCAUGAAUGUUGCACUCCUGGAGGUGAGACUCGGAAUGGGUGCAUAAUGGUCCUGGAUACCGGAGAACUCUUCAAGCUCGUGGUGCGUGCUGUAACUCCCACUGUGGCGCUGUAGUCGAGCCCAUCAAUUCAAAUUCUGAAGAUAACAUGUAGCCUGAAUCCAAGAGGGAACAAAUCCAGUUGUUCCAAGACACGUUCUUUUUUGUAUAUCUUGUUGACAGUUUGCAUCUCUGCCAUGUUCACUUGGACAAUGCAUAUAUGUAUUACAAGUCCUUCCAAGUUCAUAGAAUAAAUUAGACAUACUUCUGAAAUCUUUACUUUACGAUUGCG
rnacentral:rRNA from 1 species